AUGUGACGGUUCCUGGUAGCGCGGACUAACAAGUCAGGUGUGAAAUCUUCGGGCUCAACUCGAAACCUGCAUUUGAAACUGUUAGUCUGGGAUCUGGGAGAGGCAAGUGGAAUAUGGAACUGAGACACGGUCC
rnacentral:rRNA from 1 species